rnacentral:lncRNA from 1 species
AUCUAAAAAUAAAAAUACACAUCAAUCUCAUUGAUGCUGAAAUCCUAGAUCUAACCAUUAGAUCUACCAUUGCGAUCAAGAUAAGAUAGAAAUCAUUACUAGAUCAAUUUGAUUUUGAUCUCCUCUAAUCUAAUGAUUGGAGAAGAUAUUCUUCAGAUUACUCACAGCCACACAAAGUCAUCUGGCCUCUACAAAAAAAUUCAUGUGAAGACUAG